AAGGAGGGAGGGCAGACAGAGACACACACCCUGUGUGAGAGAGAAAAAAUGCGCAUUUCCCCUUUAAGUAGCUGACCCCAGGGUUAAGUACACUGCCUUGUUAAUUAAAUCAGCUUACUGAGACCUGAGACUGCAGCUACUGCCUAGAAACUCCCUUCCUCCCUUGUGUGACCCCCCUACUCUAUGGAAGAUGGGGUCGGUCACUUCAGUGAGCAGCACUUAUCUUUACAACAACUAACAGUAAAGGCGAGAUGAAAAUGUAACAUCCACAAGGUAGUUUACAUCCAGUCUAGCCAGCACAUUGUGAGUGAACCGUUCAGAUUGAUGGACCAUUAAGGAAAACAAUGGGUCAUGGAAGAAGCUUAUCCCCACCUAAUGGACUUUCCUGUGGACGUUAGCCAGAAUAUGGGUAAUUCCCCUGGCUAUGACUCAUCGACGCAUUCAAGGGCAUGUGACCAGCUCAUGUGACACUGGACUCCAUCUUGUGCCUGUACUUUUCCACAAACUGUGCUGGGGGCUUUGCUUGGAACAAUGAGUUUCCCUCCACAACAGAGAAGCUAUAAAAGGCCCUAGAAACGUCUCCAUUUGGCCUCUUUCCUGCUCUGAUCUCUGGAGUAUGGGCUUACACUAACAGGAGCAUCAAAACCAAUGGACUGAGGACCUUCCAACCUUAACAAUGUUACCAGAGAGAAUAUAAGUCAGCAAUUUUAUUCCAUCACUGUUUCAAACCUGAUACAAGAAACUUUGCAAUUACUGUAUGUAUUUGAUUCCUUUGACCAUUUUAAUUCACUCUUUUCUUUUCUCUUAUAAACAAACCUUUACAUAUUACAUACUAAAGGUUUGGAAACAGCGUGA